GUGUGUAGCUCAAUUGGAUAGAGCAUCGGUCUUCGAAACCGAGGGUUGAAGGUUCGAGUCCUUCCACGC
rnacentral:tRNA from 1 species